GACGAACGCUGGCGGCGUGCUUAACACAUGCAAGUCGAACGGAAAGGCCCUGCUUUUGUGGGGUGCUCGAGUGGCGAACGGGUGAGUAACACGUGAGUAACCUGCCCUUGACUUUGGGAUAACUUCAGGAAACUGGGGCUAAUACCGGAUAGGAGCUCCUGCUGCAUGGUGGGGGUUGGAAAGUUUCGGCGGUUGGGGAUGGACUCGCGGCUUAUCAGCUUGUUGGUGGGGUAGUGGCUUACCAAGGCUUUGACGGGUAGCCGGCCUGAGAGGGUGACCGGCCACAUUGGGACUGGGGUACCGCCCAGACUCCUACGGGGGGCAGCAGUGGGGAAAAUUGCACAAUGGGCCGAAGCCUGAUGCAGCAACGCCGCGUGGGGGGUGGCGGCCUUCGGGUUGUAAACCGCUUUCGCCUGGGACGAAGCGUGAGUGACGGUAAAGGGUAAAGAAACACCGGCUAACUACGUG
rnacentral:rRNA from 1 species